UUUCAUGCCCGAUGAUACAUUUGUAAAGAAACACAAGAGACUCAACAUGGAUGCAAAACUUCAAUUUCUUGUUUGUUUCAUCCUCAUACUGUUGAUAAUCUGCAACUCCCCAGUCACCGGGCUUUAUCACGGAUUCAAGAAGGAUGUUCAAAAACCUAUGGAUCUGGGACGUUUUGAUAAAAUGUUCGA